GAUGAACGCUGGCGGCGUGCCUAAUACAUGCAAGUCGAGCGAACAGACGAGGAGCUUGCUCCUCUGACGUUAGCGGCGGACGGGUGAGUAACACGUGGAUAACCUACCUAUAAGACUGGGAUAACUUCGGGAAACCGGAGCUAAUACCGGAUAAUAUAUUGAACCGCAUGGUUCAAUAGUGAAAGACGGUUUUGCUGUCACUUAUAGAUGGAUCCGCGCCGCAUUAGCUAGUUGGUAAGGUAACGGCUUACCAAGGCAACGAUGCGUAGCCGACCCGCGAGGGUGAUCGGCCACACUGGAGCUGAGACACGGUCCAGACGCCUACGGGAGGCAGCAGUAGGGAAUCUGCCGCAAUGGGCGAAAGCCUGACGGAGCAACGCCGCGUGAGUGAUGAAGGUCUUCGGAUCGUAAAACGCUGUUAUUAGGGAAGAACAAAUGUGUAAGUAACGAUGCACGUCUUGACGGUACCGAAUCAGAAAGCCACGGCUAACUACGU
rnacentral:rRNA from 1 species